rnacentral:rRNA from 1 species
GACGAACGCUGGCGGCGUGCUUAACACAUGCAAGUCGAACGGAAAGGCCCUGCUUUUGUGGGGUGCUCGAGUGGCGAACGGGUGAGUAACACGUGAGUAACCUGCCCUUGACUUUGGGAUAACUUCAGGAAACUGGGGCUAAUACCGGAUAGGAGCUCCUGCUGCAUGGUGGGGGUUGGAAAGUUUCGGCGGUUGGGGAUGGACUCGCGGCUUAUCAGCUUGUUGGUGGGGUAGUGGCUUACCAAGGCUUUGACGGGUAGCCGGCCUGAGAGGGUGACCGGCCACAUUGGGACUGAGAUACGGCACAGACUCCUACGGGAGGCAGCAGUGGGGAAUAUUGCACAAUGCGCGGAAGCCUGAUGCAGAAACGCCGCGUGCGGGAUGACGGCCUUCGGGUUGUAACCCGCUUUCGCCUGUGACGAAGCGUGAGUGACGGUAAUGGGUAAAGAAGCACCGGCUAACUACGUG